CAGUCGAGCGGGGAAGGGUAGCUUGCUACCUAACCUAGCGGCGGACGGGUGAGUAAUGCUUAGGAAUCUGCCUAUUAGUGGGGGACAACAUUCCGAAAGGAAUGCUAAUACCGCAUACGCCCUACGGGGGAAAGCAGGGGAUCUUCGGACCUUGCGCUAAUAGAUGAGCCUAAGUCAGAUUAGCUAGUUGGUGGGGUAAAGGCCUACCAAGGCGACGAUCUGUAGCGGGUCUGAGAGGAUGAUCCGCCACACUGGGACUGAGACACGGCCCAGACUCCUACGGGAGGCAGCAGUGGGGAAUAUUGGACAAUGGGCGCAAGCCUGAUCCAGCCAUGCCGCGUGUGUGAAGAAGGCCUUUUGGUUGUAAAGCACUUUAAGCGAGGAGGAGGCUACUUGGAUUAAUACUCUAGGAUAGUGGACGUUACUCGCAGAAUAAGCACCGGCUAACUCUGUGCCAGCAGCCGCGGUAAUACAGAGGGUGCGAGCGUUAAUCGGAUUUACUGGGCGUAAAGCGUGCGUAGGCGGCUUCUUAAGUCGGAUGUGAAAUCCCUGAGCUUAACUUAGGAAUUGCAUUCGAUACUGGGAGGCUAGAGUAUGGGAGAGGAUGGUAGAAUUCCAGGUGUAGCGGUGAAAUGCGUAGAGAUCUGGAGGAAUACCGAUGGCGAAGGCAGCCAUCUGGCCUAAUACUGACGCUGAGGUACGAAAGCAUGGGGAGCAAACAGGAUUAGAUACCCUGGUAGUCCAUGCCGUAAACGAUGUCUACUAGCCGUUGGGGCCUUU
rnacentral:rRNA from 1 species